UGGGCUUCUACUUGAGGAGUGGUUCUGCUGCUGAAUAAUAAACUUGGCAAUAUACUGACCCUCCCUGCUCUAACAUGGUAGGAUUCUCAGACGAUCCAAACUUGGAUGCGUGGCUGGCCUGGGGAAGUGGAACAGUCCAGGAAAUAAGAAGCAAAGCGGAGCAAGAGUUGAGCCCGUAAGGAGACCAAGGCCCAAGGAGAAGGAAGAUGUGCGUGGAAUUGCAAACCAG
rnacentral:lncRNA from 1 species